AUUGAACGCUGGCGGCAGGCCUAACACAUGCAAGUCGAACGAGUGGCGGACGGGUGAGUAAUGUCUGGGAAACGGCCUGAUGGAGGGGGAUAACUACUGGAAACGGUAGAUAAUACCGCAUACCAUCGGAUGUGCCCAGAUGGGUUUAGCUAGUAGGUGGGGUAAAGGCUCACCUAGGCGACGAUCCCUAGCUGGUCGGAGAGGAUGACCGGCCCCACUGGACCUGUGACACGGUCCAUACGCCUACGGGGGGCAUCAUUGGGGAAUAUUGCACAAUGGGCGCAAGCCUGAUGCAGCCAUGCCGCGUGGAUGAAGAAGGCCUUCGGGUUUUAAAGUACUUUCAGCGGGGAGGCGUUACCCGCAGAAGAAGCACCGGCUAACUCCGUGCCAGCAGCCGCGGUAAUUC
rnacentral:rRNA from 1 species